UGGAGCGCAAUGUGGCGG
rnacentral:misc_RNA from 1 species